rnacentral:misc_RNA from 1 species
AGCGGUGAGGGAUGGUAUGAACCUAACUCCUUAUGAGUACGUUGUCUGCAGGCAGGGAACCUCUGGAUCAGAUUAUAGCACAGAAACAAAUGGACCACAUAAAAGCAUGCUAGUCAUAUCAGAGUUCAUGGGAUGUUCCCCUUCUCUUAGUGGUGCAAUUCGGGUUAACCCAUGGAACAUUGAAGCUACUGCUGAAGCAUUGAAUGAGGCAAUAUCAAUGGCUGAUGCUGAAAAGCAAUUACGGCAUGAAAAGCACUAUAAAUAUGUGAGUACACAUGAUGUGGCAUACUGGUCAAGGAG